AAGGGCGCACGGUGGAUGCCUUGACACUAGGAGUCGAUGAAGGACGGGACUAACGCCGAUAUGCUUCGGGGAGCUGUAAGUAAGCUUUGAUCCGAAGAUUUCCGAAUGGGGAAACCCACCAUACGUAAUGGUAUGGUAUCCUUAUCUGAAUACAUAGGGUAAGGAAGACAGACCCAGGGAACUGAAACAUCUAAGUACCUGGAGGAAGAGAAAGCAAAUGCGAUUUCCUGAGUAGCGGCGAGCGAAACGGAACAUAGCCCAAACCAAGAGGCUUGCCUCUUGGGGUUGUAGGACAUUCUAUACGGAGUUACAAAGGAACGAGGUAGACGAAGCGACCUGGAAAGGUCCGUCGUAGAGGGUAACAACCCCGUAGUCGAAACUUCGUUCUCUCUUGAAUGUAUCCUGAGUACGGCGGAACACGUGAAAUUCCGUCGGAAUCUGGGAGGACCAUCUCCCAAGGCUAAAUACUCCCUAGUGAUCGAUAGUGAACCAGUACCGUGAGGGAAAGGUGAAAAGCACCCCGGAAGGGGAGUGAAAGAGAUCCUGAAACCGUGUGCCUACAAAUAGUCAGAGCCCGUUAACGGGUGAUGGCGUGCCUUUUGUAGAAUGAACCGGCGAGUUACGAUCCCGUGCGAGGUUAAGCUGAAGAGGCGGAGCCGCAGCGAAAGCGAGUCUGAAUAGGGCGUUUAGUACGUGGUCGUAGACCCGAAACCAGGUGAUCUACCCAUGUCCAGGGUGAAGUUCAGGUAACACUGAAUGGAGGCCCGAACCCACGCACGUUGAAAAGUGCGGGGAUGAGGUGUGGGUAGCGGAGAAAUUCCAAUCGAACCUGGAGAUAGCUGGUUCUCCCCGAAAUAGCUUUAGGGCUAGCCUUAAGUGUAAGAGUCUUGGAGGUAGAGCACUGAUUGGACUAGGGGUCCUCAUCGGAUUACCGAAUUCAGUCAAACUCCGAAUGCCAAUGACUUAUCCUUAGGAGUCAGACUGCGAGUGAUAAGAUCCGUAGUCAAAAGGGAAACAGCCCAGACCGCCAGCUAAGGUCCCAAAGUGUGUAUUAAGUGGAAAAGGAUGUGGAGUUGCUUAGACAACUAGGAUGUUGGCUUAGAAGCAGCCACCAUUUAAAGAGUGCGUAAUAGCUCACUAGUCGAGUGACUCUGCGCCGAAAAUGUACCGGGGCUAAAUACACCACCGAAGCUGCGGAUUGAUACCAAUGGUAUCAGUGGUAGGGGAGCGUUCUAAGGACAGUGAAGUCAGACCGGAAGGACUGGUGGAGUGCUUAGAAGUGAGAAUGCCGGUAUGAGUAGCGAAAGACGGGUGAGAAUCCCGUCCACCGAAUGCCUAAGGUUUCCUGAGGAAGGCUCGUCCGCUCAGGGUUAGUCAGGACCUAAGCCGAGGCCGACAGGCGUAGGCGAUGGACAACAGGUUGAUAUUCCUGUACCACCUCUUUAUCGUUUGAGCAAUGGAGGGACGCAGAAGGAUAGAAGAAGCGUGCGAUUGGUUGUGCACGUCCAAGCAGUUAGGCUGAUAA
rnacentral:rRNA from 2 species